rnacentral:rRNA from 1 species
CCUACGGGGAGCAGCAGUGAGGAAUAUUGGUCAAUGGGCGCGAGCCUGAACCAGCCAAGUCGCGUGAGGGAAGACGGUCCUAUGGAUUGUAAACCUCUUUUGUCGGGGUGCAAAAGACGCCACGCGUGGCGUUCCGAGAGUACCCGAAGCAAAAGCAUCGGCUAACCCAGGGCCAGCAGCCGCGGUAAUACGGAGGAUGCGAGCGUUAUCCGGAUUGAUUGGGUGUAAAGGGUGCGCAGGAGGAAGAUCAAUUCAGCGGUAAAAUUGGGAGGCUCAACCUCUUCGAGCCGUUGAAACUGGUUUUCUUGAGUGAGUGAGAAGUAUGCGGAAUGCGUGGUGUAGCGGUGAAAU